CUGCACCUGCGGCACAUGGAGGUUCCCAGGCUAAGGGCUGAAUCGGAGCUGCAGCUGCUGACCUACACCACUGCCACAGUAACACCAGAUCUGAGCCUCGUCUUCGACCUACACCACAGCUCACAGCAACGCCAGAUCCUUAACCCACUGAGCAAGGCCAGGGAUCGAACCCACGACCUCAUGCAUGUUGGUCAGGUUUGUUACCUCUGCGCUGCCACAGGAACUCCCUAGAGGACAUGGGUUUGAGUCCAGCACUGCCAUUUAGGGGCCAUUGAUCAUGGUGAAUUCAGUCGCCCUCUCUGGGCCCCAAGUUCCUCCUCCAUAAAUGGAGAAUAUGCAUUAAUUUUCACAGUAUGAAAAAAAUCUAAACUUUUCAAAAUCGGGUUAGCAAUGUAAUUAUUUUUUACAUAGAGAAUGUUUCCCUUAUUCCUUUAGGGUAAUUACAUAUUACAUGAUUGGUAAAUAAUUUGCCAAAAAAAAAAAAAUACUGAAAAGAAGAAUCAGAGACAAAAGCAUUUAAAAAAUAAGUCAUUUGCCUGCAAAAAAAAGUUUCACAAGGGAGUCUAAAUUUUAGAACAGUGGUCCUCAUCUUUGGGUGUAUAUUAGAAUUUCUUGGGAAAUUUUUAAAAUUCUUAUUGCCCUGCCUACCUGGACCAGCUAAACCAUAAUUUCAGAGGGGUAGAACCCACAAACAAAUAGUUUUUGAAAUCCCCUACAUGGGAAUGUAAAUUGAUACAACCAACAUGGAAAACAGCAUGGAGCUACCUCAGGGAAAUAAAUAUAGAACUACCAUAUGACUCAGCAAUUCCACUCCUGGACAUGUAUCCGGACAAAACUUGCCUUGAAAAAGACACGUGCACCCAUAUGUUCAUUGCAGCACUCUUCACUAUAGCCAAGACAUGGAAACAACCUAAAUGUUCAUUGACAGAUGAAUGGAUUAAGAAGACGUGGCAUAUACACACAAUGGAAUACUACUCGGCCAUAAAAAAGAACAAAAUAAUGCCAUUUGCAGCAACAUGGAUGGUACUAGAGACUCUCUACUAAAUGAAGUAAGUCAGAAAGAGAAAGACAAAUACCAUAUGAUAUCACUUAUAUCGGGAAUCUAAUACUUGGCACACAUGAACCUUUCCACAGAAAAGAAACUCAUGGACUCAGAGAACAGACUUGUGGUUGCCUAGGGGAAGGGGGAGAGAGUGGGAUGGACUGGGAAUCUGGGGUUAAUAGAUGCAAACUAUGGCAUCUGAAGUGGGCAAGCAAUGAGAUCCUGCUGUACCGCACAGGGAACUAUAGUCACUUGUGGUGGAGCAGGAUGGAGGAUAAUGUGAGAAAAAGGAUGUAUAUAUAUGUGUGACUGGGUCGCUUUGCUGUACAGUCAAAAUCAACUAUAAUGGAAAAAAUAGAAAUCCUAAAAAAACCUCCCCACAUGAUUCUAGUGUGAACCCUGACUGGGAACCAGAGUUCCAGAAGGAGUGCUCUCACCAAAUCAAAAAAUAUUCAGACUACAGGUAUGUAAAGAAAAAACACAGAUGGCCGGUUGUUCACUCCUGCUGAGAAAAGAGCAGUUUUCACAAAGGACUAGCCGACGUGCAGAGUUACAGACAGAUAUCAGCCAUUGUCAAGGUCUGGAUAAGGCUGUUUGGUAAGGAAUUAGGAAGUUCCAGCACCUGGCUUAAGAUCUCAUUUACAUGGGGACUAGAUGGCGACAGGGGGACCCUGAUAAUGCUCAUGGCAGUCUGCUCCCCCCGUCCCCGGCCUGUUCCAGGGGAAAUACAUACUCACAAAGCAGAGCAAGAGGUCAGCUUUACUUUUUCAUAAGGAAAUAGGUGACGCUCAUAUUUAAUGUCCCUCUCAACUUCAAAACCACUCCCAAGAAGUGACCACCGAUAUUGUAGAUGUAAUGCUGUGCUUAUACAGAUUACACACACACACACACACACACACACACCACACUACAACACAGGCAUACACAUAACACAUGCACACACAAGCCUACACACACACACACACACACACACACACACACACACACUUGGGACUUUCACUGAGCACUUUAUUGUGGCCUUCCUCCCGUGUCAGGACAUCAGAUUUAUCUCAUUUUUAACAGAUGCAUAGUUCUCUUGAACUGUAUAUAAUGGAUUAUUUGGAUAUUCAAAUAAUCAAUUUACAAUUGUUAGUAAAAUCUUCCCUCACUUUUUCCAUUUCAUAUAAUACUGCAAUAAACUCACUUGUUUGUUUUUGUUUGUUUGUUUGUUUGUUUUUUUGUCCUUUUUGCUAUUUCUUGGGCCGCUCCCGCGGCAUAUGGAGGUUCCCAGGCUAGGGGUCGAAUUGGAGCUGUAACCACCGGCCUACGCCAGAGCCACAGCAACGCAGGAUCCGAGCGGCGUCUGCAACCGACACCACAGCUCACGGCAACGCCGGAUCGUUAACCCACUGAGCAAGGGCAGGGACCGAACCCGAAACCUCAUGGUUCCUAGUCGGAUUCGUUAACCACUUCGCCAAGAUGGGAACUCCCCACUUGUUUGUUGAUCACACUGUCCAAUCGCCCUCCAAAUGCCUGCAGCCAAUGACAUUUCUCCAAAUAAUACAAAGCGCCUGUUUCCCACACUCUCUUCAAGGCUGGUCUUUCUGUUUUUUACUGGCUCACUUAGGGGGUGUGUACAAGGCUCUGCGAAUAACGAAAUGCAGUUCCGAGGCGAGGUAUUCCGACCAGUGACUUGGCUGAAAGGACCCGCAUCAAAAGUAGCUGCCAGCCUCUGAGGCCAGCACAGUCAGACAGAGGCUUCUGUUCUGUGUCAGGUUGUUUUCUGUAAAUACUGCUUUCGGGCUUAGAUCCUAAUUUCUUAGGCCAUGAUGUCAGUCUUCCAGGGUGACAGGGCUGUAAAUAAGGAGUGAGAGGGAGGGACCCUCUGGCAGAGGCAGCUGUCCUUACCCUCAGAGCUUUUCUGCAAAAGAACUGCCCAGCACAGCAGACAGGCCCACUGGGGCCACCUGCAACAGUAGUUUGCGUGCACCCGGCAGGGAGAGCUCUGGGAGGGCGUCCCAUCUGCUCUGUCUUCAGUCUUUAUUCCACCUCCUUUCCAGGACCUCCGAGACGUCUCACUUUCACCAUUCAUUCGGGGCGCUGGGAGGUGGAGGCCUCAGCAUUUCCUAACUUAUUUUUUUAUGAAGCACUCGCCUCACCCAGUAGACUGAGAGUGUGCUCCCCGUUGACCUCAGCUCAGAAAGAAGGGAAGUCUGAUGCUAAGCUCCUCUUCCUCUACCACGGGCUCCACGCACCCCAAGACCCCCCGGGAGGUCCCGAUCCUCCUUCAGAACCAGAGCACAAGGACCGUCUUUCAUGCUCUUUUCUUGGUAGAACCUGACCUGUUGCAGAGCCGAGCGCCCCGCCUCUGUCUUGGGCACGUGACAGUCAGCCCUCAGGAACUUAGGUCCAGACCAAUAACGGACUUGUUGGCAUCCCCUCAUCUCCCAGUUAUGAAUUCCUUGGGUUCCGUGUGUCUCUACGUUCCAGUUGGUAGCACCUAACGAGUCUGCUGAAUGGAUUUUCCCUUAGUUUGAAUCCCUGCCUGGUUUGGCCAUAAGAAAACAAAUACCAUUCAUGGGGUGUGUGACAUAGACGCUGGUGCUCCCCAAUUAUUCCAUGAGAUCCUGCAUAUUUUCCAGCCUUCCUGGCACUUAGCAUGGAGCCAGGUGACAAAUUUAAGUUCACGGGCUCAAGGGGGAGUGAAGCAAUGCACAGCACUUGCCACCCGAGGACAUCGAGGAGGCUGAAAGCUGCACGCAUCUGCCGCGGUGGCUGGAAGCGAAGAACGCUGAGACGGUGAAGGGGCCACAGGGAGCAUUGCUAAGCGCACCACUGCUGAAAGGCGGCCACCAGAGAGGAUGGGCUGACCUGUAUCAGACUGCUCCGAAAGUGACAAAUAAGCCUCUGGCUUUGGAGGUUUGCUGCCACAGCAAAACUUAGCUUUACCCUGACCAACCGCGGGUGAGUUUCACAAGCUGAAAGUGUAAGGAGGAGACAAGCCCGUGGAAUAUGACAGCAUCACCGCGGGUGAGUUUCACAAGCUGAAAGUGUAAGGAGGAGACAAGCCCGUGGAAUAUGACAGCAUCACUGGCUAGCAACAUCUUCUGAUAUCCUGGAAUUAGUCGGGAUGGGCCAUGGAUCUGGAUCUGAAACUUUUAAAUCGAAAUGGGGACAAGAGCAUCCCUAUGACGUCAUUGGAGAAUCUGAGGCAUAGAGAAGCGAAGGGAUGGGCUUCUCGGAUUAGGAGUGAGCGAAGCAUGAGAACAGAGACCUCAAUUUCCCCUGGGCUGUUUCCCACCCUUCCUAGUUGGGAUUUCUCCUCCCCCAGCAUUUGUGCCCUUUGAGUUAGUAUUCUAGGCAUGAGACUGACCUAUUUCGAAGUGGGACAGGUUGGCGUCUCUAAAGCGGGUUCCACAGAAGACUCUGUUUUGAAGCAACAUGGUGGUAAAGAGGUUAACACUGAAUGGGAGUUUUACUUCCAGGCAGGGAUCUCGAGCCCUGGUGGAAAGACUGCAGCUGCCCUGUGGCCCAGAUAAUGCAACAUCGGGCUGAGCAAGGACAUCUGAGAACAUUCUGUUCUCCUCCCCCGAGACCAAUUAAAAUCUGGAGGCAUCUUUCUUGUUGAUCGAGCUGACUAACUAAUUGAAACGGAAUUGUGAUAUUUUCAUCAGCUUUCUCUUAUCCCUCUUGGCCUUGCCAGCAGAGAGCAAGUUGAAUGAUCAGAGAGUUUCAAGCAUGUGAGGCCCAGGGAACGGAACCCCUCUCACCGUAAACCACUACAUUUCCACGGAACAAGGUUCGAAAAAGGAUGAUGCGGGGUCGAGAGUAGGGCGAUACGCUCAAAUCUCAGUCUCAGUUCAUCCAGAUACCAAAGAUACCAUCUUCGGGAUUCCUGAUGAACCAUAAAGCUGUCCUUCAGCAGUUGCUGCUCCAAUAAACCAGCUUCUGACCUCUGCCUUCCUAACGAACAUCCCUCUGCCUGACUGCGGAAGCUCCUAGAAACAAAGAACCAAACGCCUCUGAGGCCCAACAAGAUCCCUUUCCUUCCAUUGAGCUAGAAUGUA
rnacentral:lncRNA from 1 species